rnacentral:tRNA from 1 species
GGUUGGCUCAGUGGUAGAGUGCUUGCCUUGCAUGCAUGAGGCCCUGGGUUCAAUUCCUCAGUACCA